ACCAAGGUAAGCAUAAUGGUUAAGGCACUGGGCUUGGUAACCCAAAGGUCGUGGGUUAAAAUUCCCAGCUAGGGUG
rnacentral:tRNA from 1 species